rnacentral:rRNA from 1 species
GAAUUCACUAGUGAUUUCUGGUUGAUCCUGCCAGACCCGACUGCUAUCAGAGUGGGACUAAGCCAUGCGAGUCGACGUAGCAAUACGUGGCGAACGGCUCAGUAACACGUAGUCAACAUGCCCAGGGGACGUGGAUAAUCUCGGGAAACUGAGAAUAAACCACGAUAGGUCACGAUUUCUGGAAUGGAUCUUGGCUUAAAUCUACAUGGCCCCUGGAUUGGACUGCGGCCGAUCAGGCUGUUGGUGAGGUAAUGGCCCACCAAACCUAUAACCGGUACGGGCUCUGAGAGGAGGAGCCCGGAGAUGGGCACUGAGACAAGGGCCCAGGCCCUAUGGGGCGCAGCAGGCGCGAAACCUCUGCAAUAGGCGAAAGCCUGACAGGGUUACUCUGAGUGAUUUCCGCUAAGGGGAUCUUUUGGCACCUCUAAAAAUGGUGCAGAAUAAGGGGUGGGCAAGUCUGGUGUCAGCCGCCGCGGUAAUACCAGCACCCCGAGUGGUCGGGACGAUUAUUGGGCCUAAAGCAUCCGUAGCCGGUUCUGCAAGUCUUCCGUUAAAUCCAGCCGCUCAACGGAUGGGCCGCGGAGGAUACUAUAGGACUAGGAGGCGGGAGAGGCAAGCGGUACUCAGUGGGUAGGGGUAAAAUCCUUUGAUCCAUUGAAGACCACCAGUGGCGAAGGCGGCUUGCCAGAACGCGCUCGACGGUGAGGGAUGAAAGCUGGGGGAGCAAACCGGAUUAGAUACCCGGGUAGUCCCAGCUGUAAACGAUGCAGACUCGGUGAUGGGCUAGCCUUGUGCCAGCCCAGUGCCGCAGGGAAGCCGUUAAGUCUGCCGCAUGGGGAGUACGGUCGCAGGACUGAAACUUAAAGGAAUUGGCGGGGGAGCACCACAAGGGGUGAAGCCUGCGGUUCAAUUGGAUUCAACGCCGGGAAUCGAAUUCCCGCGGCC